GUCUCUUCGGGGAUGAUUAAACCGGCGCACGGGUGAGUAACACGUGAGUGACCUGCCUUUUAGACUGGAACAACUUACCGAAAGGUGAGCUAAUGCCGGAUGAGUUAUAUAAGUGCAUGUUUAUAUAGGAAAAGUUGGGGAGACCUGACGCUGAAAGAUGGACUCGCGUCCCAUUAGCUAGUUGGUAGGGUAAUGGCCUACCAAGGCGACGAUGGGUAGCCGGCCUGAGAGGGUGGCCGGCCACACUGGGACUGAGACACGGCCCAGACUCCUACGGGAGGCAGCAGUGGGGAAUUUUGCGCAAUGCUCGUAAGAGUGACGCAGCGACGCCGCGUGAAUGACGAAGGCCUUCGGGUCGUAAAGUUCUUUCGACAGGGAAGAAAAUGCCUAUAAGUAACUGUGUAUGUAUUGACGGUACCUGUAUAAGCAGCCCCGGCUAACUCCGUGCCAGCAGCCGCGGUAAUACGGAGGGGGCGAGCGUUGUUCGGAGUGACUGGGCGUAAAGAGCACGUAGGCGGUGUUGUAAGUCAUUAGUCAAAGACUAGAGCUCAACUUUAGUAAGGCUAGUGAUACUAUAAUACUAGAGUAUCAGAGAGGAUUGCAGAAUUCCUGGUGUAGCGGUGAAAUGCGUAGAUAUCAGGAGGAAUACCGUUAGCGAAGGCGGCAAUCUGGCUGGAAACUGACGCUGAGGUGCGAAAGCGUGGGUAGCAAACAGGAUUAGAUACCCUGGUAGUCCACGCUGUAAACGAUGGAUGCUAGGUGUUGGGCUUUUAAGUUCAGUGCCGCA
rnacentral:rRNA from 1 species